UCUCCGUUGGUGAACCAGCGGAGGGAUCAUUACCGAGUUCCAGCAACUCCCAACCCUUGCGAACCGUACCCCAGUCUGUUCUCGUUGCUUCCGGCAGGCGGGGGGGGCCACCUGGCCCCGCCCACUGCCGGGGGCGUCAGGCCCUCUGAACCUUUAUAACUCAACCACUGAAGCCCGUCUGAGCAAAACAAAAAAUAAUCAAAACUUUCAACAACGGAUCUCUUGGCUCUG
rnacentral:misc_RNA from 1 species